rnacentral:rRNA from 1 species
CAGAACGAACGCUGGCGGCGCGCUUAAGCAUGCAAGUCGAACGGCAAGAGGUAGCAAUACCUCCUAGAGUGGCGGACUGGUGAGUAACACGUGGGUGACAUACCCUUCAGAUGGGGAUAGCUAUUAGAAAUAGUAGAUAAUACCGAAUACGAGCACAGGGGUUAGAGAUCUGUGAGGAAAGGAGCUAAGGCUCCGCUGAAGGAAUGGCCUGCGGCCCAUUAGCUAGUUGGUGAGGUAAGAGCCCACCAAGGCGAUGAUGGGUAUCCGGCCUUAGAGGGUGAACGGACACAUUGGGACUGAGAUACGGCCCAGACUCCUACGGGAGGCAGCAGCUAAGAAUAUUCCGCAAUGGACGAAAGUCUGACGGAGCGACGCCGCGUGGAUGAAGAAGGCCGGAAGGUUGUAAAAUCCUUUUGAAACUGAAGAAUAAGCGUUGUAGGGAAUGACAGCGUGGUGACAGUAGGUUUUGAAUAAGCAACGGCUAAUUACGUGCCAGCCGCUGC